rnacentral:rRNA from 1 species
CAGUAGCCGCGGUAAUACGGAGGGUGCAAGCGUUAAUCGGAAUUACUGGGCGUAAAGCGCACGCAGGCGGUUUGUUAAGUCAGAUGUGAAAUCCCCGAGCUUAACUUGGGAACUGCAUUUGAAACUGGCAAGCUAGAGUCUUGUAGGGGGGGGUAGAAUUCCAGGUGUAGCGGUGAAAUGCGUAGAGAUCUGGAGGAAUACCGGUGGCGAAGGCGGCCCCCUGGACAAAGACUGACGCUCAGGUGCGAAAGCGUGGGGAGCAAACAGGAUUAGAUACCCGCGUAGUCCCUGUCUCUUAUAC